rnacentral:lncRNA from 1 species
GGGAGGGCGGUGGGCUGGGGCUGCGGGGAUGCGCGGCGCGUGGCCGGCCGCCCCCAGCUGUGGCGUCGCUCAGGCCCGGCUUAGCGGGCCAGGGCCAGGGAUUAGGGGCAGUGGCCGCACCUGGCGGGGCGGCCGCAGGGCUAAUGCUGUGUGACCGCGCGGCCCCGCCCGACAACUGGCUCCCUCCCGCCGGGAAGGGUUGUGGGCUCGUUAGCCCGCCGGCGUGUGCGCGGGGGUGUGCGCGGCCAUGGGCGGCGUGCGCACGUGUGGACCCGGGGCCCCGCGGCUGUCGCUGACGGCCACCGGCUGCGCUGGACUGAGAGGCGCCCUGAGUGAGGAAGGGAAGCGUAGGGCGCCCUGGGAAGGGUAGCGGCCUGAAGGUGUGUGGCCCUGUGGCAGGGUGUUGAGGAACAAGUGGGGGCAAUUGAUGUGUGUCGCUGUGAGCAGUUGUCACCUUGUGAUGUCUCGCUCUGGGUCUGAGUCCCUGGGGGUCUGACUGGGGGGUGCCUCUCUGAUAUGACAGUCCCUAUUAUCACCCUCUGUUGACUGUCGCUGUCCAGGACCUUGGCCCGUGCUGUGAGACUGAAUGUCUCUGGGCAAGACCCUAUGGGACAUCUCUGUCCUCUGAGUGUGCAUUUAGUGGGUAUCAGGAAGAAUUCUCACCCUCCUUGGGGCCUGCUGCCCAAGUUGCCUCUGCAGAUAUAGCCUUUGGGGUACAAGCCCCCCACAAGCUGUCUACUUCCCGGCAGCAGUGUCUCAGCAUUGCCCUGCAGGGCCCAGAUCUCUGGUGCUGGAUGGAGACCACAGGGGCAGAGUUCUGGUCUCUGUGUUCCUUGCCCCCAUAAACUCAGAACUGCCUCCUCAAGCCCAUCCCUAAGCUGGCCUAACUCAGGGCCCCGGACUUGCUUUAACUGCCCAUUUUCUAUCAAAGAAAUUGGAUCUGGACAAAGCUUCUGAUAGGAUUGGGAAUUCUUCUUAUCUGAUGCCAUAGAUAAGCCUCUGGGCCUUUGCACGUGCUGUUUCCUCUGAAGGGAAGGAGGCCUCUCACUUCUCUAGAGUGCAGGAACCAUCUCCACGACGCAGCCUUCCCUCUAGCACUCUCACCCCACCCCACCCUGUCUCCUUACAGAAGCUCAGAUCACCUCUGACAUGGGCUCCUUGGAUGUUGUCUGCAUCUCCUGGAGAUAGGAGCUGCCCGAGAUCAGAGGAUGGGAUGCCAGGACCCAUAGCAGGUGCCUGGACAGACUGGGGCUGGAGAGAAGGGCUGGGUGCAGCGAGCCAGCCUCUGGCCCAGAGCAGGACUCAGAGAGACACGUUCUGAAACCCUCCUCUUCCUCCUCCUAUUGUUGAUAAUAACAGCUCCCAUUUCCCAGGCGCUGACUGUGGGCCUUGCACCGUGUUUGACACUGUGUGUGCGUUAUCUACGUCAUCCUAAUCAGUCCUGACAGCUGGGUGUGGUGAUCCCCAUCUUUCUGAGGAGGCAGUUGAGAUUCAGAGAGGUUCUGUGUGUUGACCAAGGUCACCUCGCUGGUCAGAGGCAGAGCUGGGAUUCACGUCCAGCCCCUCCCUGCCCCUGUCUCUCAGUGCUGACCCCAGGGG